GUGCCUAUAGCUCAAUGGCAGAGCGCCUGACUGUGGCUCAGGAGGUUGAGGGUUCGAGACCGUCUAGGCACC
rnacentral:tRNA from 2 species